rnacentral:rRNA from 1 species
UAGAGUUUGAUCAUGGCUCAGAUUGAACGCUGGCGGCAGGCUUAACACAUGCAAGUCGAACGGUAACAUAAAGAAGCUUGCUUCUUUGAUGACGAGUGGCGGACGGGUGAGUAAUGCUUGGGAAUCUAGCUUAUGGAGGGGGAUAACUACGGGAAACUGUAGCUAAUACCGCGUAGUAUCGGAAGAUGAAAGUGUGGGACCUUCGGGCCACAUGCCAUAGGAUGAGCCCAAGUGGGAUUAGGUAGUUGGUGAGGUAAAGGCUCACCAAGCCGACGAUCUCUAGCUGGUCUGAGAGGAUGACCAGCCACACUGGGACUGAGACACGGCCCAGACUCCUACGGGAGGCAGCAGUGGGGAAUAUUGCGCNAUGGGGGCAACCNUGACGCAGCCAUGCCGCGUGAAUGAAGAAGGCCUUCGGNUUUGUAAAGUUCUUUCGGUAGCGAGGAAGGCAUUUAGUUUAAUAAACUAGGUGAUUGACGNUAACUACGNANAAGCNCCGGCUAACUCCGUGCCAGCAGCCCNNUAAUACGGAGGUGCNAGAUUAAUCGGAANAACUGGGCGUNAGGNCNCNCAGGGGGGAAUUAAGUANGGUNGAAACCCCGNCUUAACCGGGANUUCAUUUUANACUGGGGCNNUAAGAACUNA